UACGUAGGUGGCAAGCGUUGUCCGGAAUUAUUGGGCGUAAAGCGCGCGCAGGCGGUUUCUUAAGUCUGAUGUGAAAGCCCCCGGCUCAACCGGGGAGGGUCAUUGGAAACUGGGAAACUUGAGUGCAGAAGAGGAAAGUGGAAUUCCAAGUGUAGCGGUGAAAUGCGUAGAGAUUUGGAGGAACACCAGUGGCGAAGGCGACUUUCUGGUCUGUAACUGACACUGAUGAACGAAAGCCAGGGGAGCAAACGGG
rnacentral:rRNA from 1 species